rnacentral:rRNA from 1 species
GUGGGGAAUUUUGGACAAUGGGCGAAAGCCUGAUCCAGCAAUGCCGCGUGUGUGAAGAAGGCCUUCGGGUUGUAAAGCACUUUUGUCCGGAAAGAAAUCUGUCUGGCUAAUACCUAGAUGGGAUGACGGUACCGGAAGAAUAAGCACCGGCUAACUACGUGCCAGCAGCCGCGGUAAUACGUAGGGUGCGAGCGUUAAUCGGAAUUACUGGGCGUAAAGCGUGCGCAGGCGGUUUUGUAAGACCGAUGUGAAAUCCCCGGGCUUAACCUGGGAACUGCAUUGGUGACUGCAAGGCUAGAGUGCGUCAGAGGGGGGUGGAAUUCCGCGUGUAGCAGUGAAAUGCGUAGAGAUGCGGAGGAACACCGAUGGCGAAGGCAGCCCCCUGGGAUGACACUGACGCUCAUGCACGAAAGCGUGGGGAGCAAACAGGAUUAGAUACCCUAGUAGUCC